UACGUAGGGUGCGAGCGUUGAAUCGAAUUACUGGGCGUAAAGCGUGCGCAGGCGGUUCGCUGUGUCCGAUGUGAAAGCCCCGGGCUUAACCUGGGAAUGGCAUUGGAAACUGGCGAGCUGGAGUGUGGCAGAGGGGGGUGAAUUCCGCGUGUAGCAGUGAAAUGCGUAGAGAUGCGGAGGAACACCGAUGGCGAAGGCAGCCCCCUGGGUCAAGACUGACGCUCGAUGCACGAAAGCGUGGGGAGCAAACAGG
rnacentral:rRNA from 1 species